UAUAUGCCUGUGAUGAUGUAUUGAUAUAUAUUGUCCAGGUUCGUUAUGUGACAGGUUAUGUGAUUGCUGCUCUGACAGGUAGCGUUGUUGUAUGUAAUGAGAUAAUCCUGACAGGUCACCAUAGGAAAGGUGAUCAUUUUGUGCAUGCAUCAUGCCAAAAUUUUCAGAAUUUAUUGAUGAUUAAUAGGUAGUAGGGUUCUACGU
rnacentral:lncRNA from 1 species